UUUGUUUCUUAUUGGACCUGAAAAUGGCGACCACAUUGCGAGUGUCGGGUCAAGUCGAGUAAGAGUCGCUUACGUCAAGUCGUCAACAAUUCCUGCCUUAUUACCAAACAACAAAAGCACCGCGAGUGUGGAUUGUGGUCGAGGAGAAAUUGGCGAUGGUGAAGAAACUAUUGACAGGGAGGACCGUAAGACGUGAUAGUACUCGAGCAGCCCCAUCAAUUCCAACAGUUGCUUGAAGAUUUGGUCGAGACAGAAUUUGAUAAAAAGCCCUUUAUCAAGAGUAAACAAUUUGAGUGGUUCCCUCAGUACAGUUGAAAAACAAGCAUAUAGGUGCAUACAGUUGCAACAGUUACUGGAAGAUUCUACCAUGACAGAAUUUGAUAAAGCCCUUUGUCAAUAAAAGCAAUGCAUAUUGAAGAAGGCAAAAGAAAAUCCUCUCUGAAUCUUGACGAAGAAGUGGCUAGAGUUACCUUUGAGACUGUCAUCAAAGUGGAGAAAGAAAAAGUGAAACUUAUUCUACCCCCUUCGAGACUGUCAUUACAUUGGCACACUCUCAUGUUGAUAACAUUAAUGGUUAUGGUGGAGUCACCAUCAGAGGGAAAGCAGUGGUCCCCCAAUUAAUUGAAAUCCCAAUCUCCUUUACUAGCAGACAUAAUUUUCAAUUUGGGUAUGGAAGGCUGGCACAAAACAUGUUAACCAGAAAACGGGUGAUGCAAACCAACUUCUGAAACUCAGUGAUGACCGUUAAAUGUUUGUGUCAACUGCCCACCCUUGAGGACCGCCCAGUCAACGAACCGCCAACCUAAUCGCAACCUGCUGCAGCCAGCACUGAGAACUCGCGAAUACGAGGAACUGCACAACUUUGUACGGAAGUUGCAGACCCACAAGAGCUCCUGGCCGUUCCUCAAGUUUGUGGCUGUAACGGAAGUCCACAACUUUUGUAAGAUCAUCAAGAUUACAAAGAGUUGAUACCUGUGACUUGGUGAAUUUGUUGUUUCAAAACCUAAAACAUUCUGUUGUUUAAGUUGGCGUGGUGAAGUACCAGUGGUGAAGUCAGAAAUGGAAACAGACCUAUUCCAAUCCCCAGCAACGUCAACCUGCAGAAGGAAAG